UACGUAGGGGGCGAGCGUUGUCCGGAUUUAUUGGGCGUAAAGAGCGUGUAGGCGGCCAGGUAGGUCUGCUGUGAAAACUCGAGGCUCAACCUCGAGACGUCGGCGGAAACCAUCUGGCUAGAGUCCGGAAGAGGAGAGUGGAAUUCCUGGUGUAGCGGUGAAAUGCGUAGAUAUCGGGAGGAACACCAGUGGCGAAGGCGACUACCUGGCCUGUUUCUUGACGCUGAGGCGCGAAAGCUAGGGGAGCAAACGGG
rnacentral:rRNA from 1 species